GUUCCGAAAGGGAACUUUGUAUGGUCUGGUUUUUAUCAGCAAUCAGCAGCCUAUGUUGCAUCCACAGGCUCUACACAAGGUGAAACCAGAGCCACGAACAUCAGAUGCUUGACCGUGUGUAACAGGAGAUAUGGGCUGGUGUAAUGCCGUGGGCAUGCUGAGUCGUUCUGGUGCUCAACUCUGCCCUGUGGGUGUGUGGUUCUCUGACAUGAUGAACGUACAGCUCUGUAAAAGCACAGAGUAGCUUAAGAUAAUCACACGUCUCUUGUUAAGAGGCACAACAUGUACAUAACCGCACCAGAGGGGUGUGUUGGUGCUUUUGACAUCUAAAGUGAUGCCAAUGUCACACUCACAAUGAGGUGGAACGGGACCUGAACUCCAGUGAUGUGUAUUUAAAACCUGUAAUUUUUUUUUUAAAUAAUAUAAAAAAAACUGCUUGGUUAAUUUAGCAUGAACAUUAUGGAGUUUUCACCAUAUCAGAGUUUUUAUUAUAUGUAAUGUUUAGGCAUUUUAAGAACCACUUUUGACUUGAUUUCUUGUUCCAGUUAUUAUUUAUUUCACAUGUGAUUUAUUCACACAGUUCAUUCAAAUUCACGUAAUGUU